UUUCAAUAAAAAUCUGAACUUUUAUAAUAUUUUGAGAUGAUUUGAGCUCAAAAUCAAAAUGAGUUUUUAGGAAAGACUUUCAUAAAAGAAAAAUCUCUUUUAAAGGGUUUAAGCAUGGAAACAACUGUGAGUAGUCCUAGUGGUGGCGGGGGGGUUACAGUGGUGGCAUCCGAUGCUCCUUCAAAUUACCAAAUCGCUCCUAGGUCCGACAGCAACCCGAAUUCAACAACUGGAUCUGCGCCACCUGCUCCGCCGCAAGCUCCACCUCCCCUCCCGUCUUCCGCGGCGGCGACUAUGCCAUUGAAGAAGAAGAGAGGGAGGCCUAGAAAGUAUGGUCCAGACGGGUGUGUCACCAUGGCUUUGUCUCCGAAGCCGAUUUCGUCUGCGGCUCCCGCACCAUCUCCUCCGGUGAUUGAUUUCUCAGUUGUGAAGCAAAAGAAAAUAAAGCCAGUGAGCAAGGCCAAGUUUGAGCUGGAGAAUUUAGGUGAAUGGGUUGCAUGCUCUGUAGGUGCAAAUUUUACUCCCCAUAUCAUCACAGUCAACGCAGGCGAGGAUGUCACAAUGAAAAUCAUAUCAUUUUCCCAACAAGGUCCUCGAGCUAUAUGCGUGCUCUCAGCUAAUGGUGUGAUCUCUAGCGUUACACUUCGUCAGCCCGAUUCUUCAGGGGGUACACUAACAUACGAGGGUCGCUUUGAGAUUUUGUCUUUAUCUGGUUCAUUUAUGCCCACUGAAACUGGAGGAACAAGAAGCAGAUCUGGUGGGAUGAGUGUUUCAUUAGCAAGUCCUGAUGGAAGAGUUGUAGGUGGUGGAGUUGCUGGUCUGCUGGUAGCUGCAAGUCCCGUACAGGUUGUAGUAGGUAGUUUUCUGGCUGGGAACCAGCAUGAUCAGAAGCCAAAGAAACAGAAGCAUGAUUCGUUAUCAGGUGUCAUGCCGACUGCUGCCAUUCCUAUUUCUAUUGCUGAUCCUAAAUCCAAUUUCUCAUCUCCCUCAUUUCGAGGAGAUAGUUGGUCUCCUUUGCCUCCGGAAUCAAGGAAUAAGCCGGCAGACAUUAACUUAACUUUGCCAGCAGGGUAAUGGGGUUCACCUCAAUCGUGCAUCAAAAGGAUUGUCGUCAGCUGACGACAAUGGCAUUCAACAUCCAAUCUUAUAAUCUCACCUUCAAGUGUUGUUUUAUCUGUAAUUCUAUCAACAAUUUAUCAGUACUGGCAUGUCGAUUUUACCUAUUUUGUUUUUCAGGUAGAAUUUUAGUUAGCUGAUUCGUUAGGCCUCUGUUGCUGUUGUGCCAUGUAGAAUAGCUGAUGUAAUAUUUACCCCCCAGAGUUGCCCUUCUCCGGAUUGAUGGACACUUGGAAAUUGUUAUUUCUAACAUUUCAUCUACUCUUUUUAAAGGCUGUUAAUGUUGCUCUGCGUGAUGCAACAGGGCAACUUCUUAGAAAUAGUUGUAAUGACAUUUUCAACUAUUUUUAUAAUUUUUUUUCUUAUUAUGCUUUUUGAAUGUA